UACAGAGGUCUCGAGCGUUAGGCGGAAUCACUGGGCUUAAAGCGUGUGUAGGCGGAUCGUUAAGUGCCUUGUGAAAUCCCACGGCUCAACCGUGGAACUGCUUGGCAUACCGGCGGUCUUGAGCAACCUAGGGGCGAGCGGAACAAAUGGUGGAGCGGUGAAAUGCGUAGAUAUCAUUUGGAACGCCAAUGGUGAAAACAGCUCGCUGGGGGUUUGCUGACGCUGAGACACGAAAGCCAGGGGAGCAAACGGG
rnacentral:rRNA from 1 species